rnacentral:rRNA from 1 species
GAUGAACGCUGGCGGCGUGCCUAAUACAUGCAAGUCGAGCGAACAGACGAGGAGCUUGCUCCUCUGACGUUAGCGGCGGACGGGUGAGUAACACGUGGAUAACCUACCUAUAAGACUGGGAUAACUUCGGGAAACCGGAGCUAAUACCGGAUAAUAUAUUGAACCGCAUGGUUCAAUAGUGAAAGACGGUUUUGCUGUCACUUAUAGAUGGAUCCGCGCCGCAUUAGCUAGUUGGUAAGGUAACGGCUUACCAAGGCAACGAUGCGUAGCCGACCUGAGAGGGUGAUCGGCCACACUGGAACUGAGACACGGUCCAGACUCCUACGGGAGGCAGCAGUAGGGAAUCUUCCGCAAUGGGCGAAAGCCUGACGGAGCAACGCCGCGUGAGUGAUGAAGGUCUUCGGAUCGUAAAACUCUGUUAUUAGGGAAAAACAAAUGUGUAAGUAACUAUGCACGUCUUGACGGUACCUAAUCAGAAAGCCACGGCUAACUACGUG